GGGGAAGGGCACACGACACGCAGGCACUGUCGGCUAGAGUCUCCAGGGAAUGAAACGAGUCUCUGAAGAGGCGACCAACGCCUCUCUCUAGUCUUGACAGCACAGCACAGCAGGCAGGAAGACGGUGCGUGUGGGCAGACAUGGCGCCAGAGAAGGAGCCGAGAGUCCUACGUCUGGAUCUGCAGGCAGCAGGAAGUGGACCGUGAGCCACUAGGACUGGUUUUGAGACCUCCAAGCCCACCCCACAGUGACACACUUCCUCCAACAAGACCACACCUCCUAAUAGUGCCACUCCCUAUGGGCCAAGCAUUCACACACAUGACUCUAUGGGGGCCAGACCUAUCCACGCCACCGCAACUUCCAUGGCGAAGACACGGAAGAAGAGGAUCUCCUAAGUAAAAAACCCUAAUAGAAUAGUGCACAGAUAUGCUGGCACCAGGGGAGAUUCAGACCCCACCCCUGUAAGUUGUCCCCUGGCCACCACACACAUUCUGUAACACAUGCACCUCUCUCCCAUAAAGAAAUAAAUGCAAAUCUGAAACAA